GACGAACGCUGGCGGCGUGCUUAACACAUGCAAGUCGAACGGUGAAGCGCCUUCCUUUUUGGUGGGUGUGGAUGAGUGGCGAACGGGUGAGUAACACGUGAGUAACCUGCCCCCUUCUUCUGGAUAACCGCAUGAAAGUGUGGCUAAUACGGGAUAUUCUGGGUCUGUCGCAUGAUGGGUCUGGGAAAGAUAUUGUUUCGGUGGGGGAUGGGCUCGCGGCCUAUCAGCUUGUUGGUGGGGUGAUGGCCUACCAAGGCGGUGACGGGUAGCCGGCCAGAGAGGGUGGACGGUCACACUGGGACUGAGACACGGCCCAGACUCCUACGGGAGGCAGCAGUGGGGAAUAUUGCACAAUGGGCGCAAGCCUGAUGCAGCGACGCCGCGUGAGGGAUGGAGGCCUUCGGGUUGUGAACCUCUUUCGCCAGUGAAGCAGGCCUGCCUCGUUUGUGGGUGGGUUGACGGUAGCUGGAUAAGAAGCGCCGGCUAACUACGUG
rnacentral:rRNA from 1 species